rnacentral:sRNA from 1 species
GCCAGGUACAGUGGCGCAUGCCUGUAAUCCAGCUGCUCAGGAGGCUGAGCCAGGAGGAUCAUGAGUUAAAACCAGCUUCAGCAAAAGCAAGAUGCUAAGCAACUUAGUGAAACCCUGUCUCUA